AUUGAACGCUGGCGGCAGGCCUAACACAUGCAAGUCGAGCGGUAGAGAGGUGCUUGCACCUCUUGAGAGCGGCGGACGGGUGAGUAAUGCCUAGGAAUCUGCCUGGUAGUGGGGGAUAACGCUCGGAAACGGACGCUAAUACCGCAUACGUCCUACGGGAGAAAGCAGGGGACCUUCGGGCCUUGCGCUAUCAGAUGAGCCUAGGUCGGAUUAGCUAGUUGGUGAGGUAAUGGCUCACCAAGGCGACGAUCCGUAACUGGUCUGAGAGGAUGAUCAGUCACGCUGGAACUGAGACACGGUCCAGACUCCGACGGGAGGCAGCAGUGGGGGAUAUUGGGCAAUGGGCGAAAGCCUGAUCCAGCCAUGCCGCGUGUGUGAAGAAGGUCUUCGGAUUGUAAAGCACUUUAAGUUGGGAGGAAGGGUCGUUACCUAAUACGUGACGAUUUUGACGUUACCGACAGAAUAAGCACCGGCUAACUCUGUGCCAGCCGCCGCAGUAACAC
rnacentral:rRNA from 1 species